rnacentral:rRNA from 1 species
AACGAACGCUGGCGGCAUGCCUAACACAUGCAAGUCGAACGAACCCUUCGGGUCUAGUGGCGCACGGGUGCGUAACGCGUGGGAACCUGCCCUUAGGGUCGGAAUAACUCCCCGAAAGGGGUGCUAAUACCGGAUAAGGGCUUCGGACGAAAGAUUUAUCGCCUUUGGAGGGGCCCGCGUUGGAUUAGCUAGUUGGUAGGGUAAGAGCCUACCAAGGCGAGGAUCAAUAGCUGGUCUGAGAGGAUGAUCAGCCACACUGGGACUGAGACACGGCCCAGACUCCUACGGGAGGCAGCAGUGGGGAAUAGUGCACAAUGGGCGAAAGCCUGAUGCAGCAAUGCCGCGUGAAUGAUGAAGGCCUUAGGGUUGUAAAGCUCUUUUACCCGGGAUGAUAAUGACAGUACCGGGAGAAUAAGCCCCGGCUAACUCCGUG